UACAGAGGUCUCAAGCGUUGUUCGGAUUCAUUGGGCGUAAAGGGUGCGUAGGCGGCGCGGUAAGUCGGGUGUGAAAUUUCGAGGCUUAACUUCGAAACUGCAUUCGAUACUGCCGUGCUUGAGGACUGGAGAGGAGACUGGAAUUUACGGUGUAGCGGUGAAAUGCGUAGAUAUCGUAAGGAAGACCAGUGGCGAAGGCGGGUCUCUGGACAGUUCCUGACGC
rnacentral:rRNA from 1 species